rnacentral:rRNA from 1 species
AUUGAACGCUGGCGGCAGGCCUAACACAUGCAAGUCGAGCGGUUGAAGGGAGCUUGCUCCCUGAUUCAGCGGCGGACGGGUGAGUAAUGCCUAGGAAUCUGCCUAUUAGUGGGGGACAACGUUUCGAAAGGAACGCUAAUACCGCAUACGUCCUACGGGAGAAAGCAGGGGACCUUCGGGCCUUGCGCUAAUAGAUGAGCCUAGGUCGGAUUAGCUAGUUGGUGAGGUAAUGGCUCACCAAGGCGACGAUCCGUAACUGGUCUGAGAGGAUGAUCAGUCACACUGGAACUGAGACACGGUCCAGACUCCUACGGGAGGCAGCAGUGGGGAAUAUUGGACAAUGGGCGAAAGCCUGAUCCAGCCAUGCCGCGUGUGUGAAGAAGGUCUUCGGAUUGUAAAGCACUUUAAGUUGGGAGGAAGGGCAGUAAGUUAAUACCUUGCUGUUUUGACGUUACCGACAGAAUAAGCACCGGCUAACUCUGUGCCAGCAGCCGCAGUAACAC